GCCACGUCUCCAGAGUGACUCUCCUGGUGGGAACAGCACACCCUGCAUCAGUAGCUGCUGGUGACCCUCCCUUCCUGAACUGAUUCCUGCCCAGUGUCCUCAGAGAGCCCUGCUCAGGAUCCCAGCAAGCAGUGAAGAGCAAAGCCACACCGUGGACAAGCCCCCUGAGUGCUCUGGACUUGUUUUUCUCAUCGGCAACAAGAGAACCUUGCCAGCUCCACCAUUCAGGUAGCCUCAGAACUGCUAAGCUGAGGUCCAGAGUAUAAAACAUCAGGUGAGGGAGACGUCACUCUGAUGUAGUUCUAACAGCAACCAUUUAUGGAGCUCUUAUUACACACCGGGCACUCUGCCUUAUGAAGCUUCUUUUGCUUAAUCCUUACGAGUGUCUUGCAAAGAAGAUUUGUGCAACCCCAUGUUACAGAAGAGAAAAAUGAGGGUCAGACUUGUCAAAACUUGUACAAAGAGAUCAUAGAGCUGACAUCCAUUUAUUAUUUAUUGUGACAAGCCCCAACCUACGUGCUUGGGAUGCAGUAGUGAACACGAUCAGUAUGGUACCUGCCCUGACGGAAAUGAUCAUUUGGCAGGAGAGAUGAACAUUAAGCAAGGAGACAAACAGGUUGGCUUUUUGAAGAUAAGACAAAGGAGAAUAUGCCUUCCUUCAAGACUGACUUCAGGUCAACCCAAGGCUGUUCACAGGAGACCAGCCACUUACAGGUUAAACAAACACAUAAACACAGUGGUGUUAAUCAUAAAAAGAAAAAAUGCUUCUGAUCAUCACUGCAGUUCCGAAAUGGACAGCUGUGCCCCUGACGCUCGUCAGUGGCAUCAGUGUCACUGCUGACAACUGUACAGAGGUUGCUGAAGGCUGAGGCCCAGGCAGGUGCUGCAGCAGCUGUCAACGCUGCUGGCAUCUGGCACCAUGCCUGGCACUUAGGAGAAGCUCAGGAAAUGUUGGCUGAAUGGGUGACUGAAUGCUGCCUGCGCUGCCGCUGCCUUGUCCUUCAAUGCUCCAGGGAGUGGGGUUCACGGGGUGCAGGGUGUGUAUUGUAGCCCCUUGUUCUGAGAUUCAGGAAUGCCUCCAUUGAGCUGGGCCUGGGACAAUGUCAGUGACAACACAGAAAUGACCACAGAGCUGCCACUUUCUUCUGAAGCUUGCCUGUCUUCUUGAAACAAACCACCUUGUGGACAUUUUUUUCCCCUGGGGAGGCAAAUUAAGACUGGAGAUUUAAAGUGUGCACCUGGGACUUCCCUGGUGGCGCAGUGGUUAAGAAUCCGCCUGCCAAUGCAGGGGACACGGGUUUGAGCCCUGGUCCGGAAGGUCUCACAUGCCGCGGAGCAACUAAGCCCGUGCGCCACAACUCCUGAGUCUGCACACCACAACUAUUGAGCCCGCACACCUAGAGCCCGUGCUCUGCAACAAGAGAAGCCACCGCAAUGAGAAGCCUAUGCACCGAAACCAAGAGUAGCCUCUGCUCACCACAACUAGAGAGAGCCCGUGCGCAGCAACGACGACCCGACGCAGCCAAAAAUAAAUAAAAUUUAUAAACAAAAAAAAAUAAAGUGCCUGCCUGAACACACACAACAAAUCCCUGAGGCCCAGGUGCCUCUUCCUUCUCACCUUAUCACAGCCUCACUGCUUCUCUUCUUCCCCUUUCAAGACCAACUGUUCAGGUGAAUGAAUAAAGAAACUGGUACAUCCACACAAUGGAAUACUACUCAGCAAUAAAAAGGAAAAACUUGAUACACACAACGUGAAUCUCAAAUGUAUUACGCAAGAAGCCAAUCUCCAAGGAUUAUAUAUGGUAUAAUUCUCUUCAAAUGUCAUU